rnacentral:rRNA from 1 species
UACGAAGGGGGCUAGCGUUGCUCGGAAUCACUGGGCGUAAAGCGCACGUAGGCGGCUUACUAAGUCAGGGGUGAAAUCCUGGAGCUCAACUCCAGAACUGCCUUUGAUACUGGUAGCUCGAGUCCGGGAGAGGUGAGUGGAACUGCGAGUGUAGAGGUGAAAUUCGUAGAUAUUCGCAAGAACACCAGUGGCGAAGGCGGCUCACUGGCCCGGUACUGACGCUGAGGUGCGAAAGCGUGGGAG